rnacentral:rRNA from 1 species
GUAGGGAAUAUUGCACAAUGGGCGAAAGCCUGAUGCAGCAACGCCGCGUGCGCGAUGAAGGCCUUCGGGUCGUAAAGCGCUUUUCGGGGAGAUGAGGAAGGACAGUAUCCCCGGAAUAAGGCUCGGCUAACUACGUGCCAGCAGCCGCGGUAAAACGUAGGAGCCUAGCGUUAUCCGAAUUUACUGGGCGUAAAGCGCGUGCAGGCGGUUCGGUAAGUUGGGUGUGAAAUCUCCUGGCUCAACUAGGAGAGGUCGCUCAAUACUGUCGAACUGGAGGAUGGUAGAGGGAGGUGGAAUUCCCGGUGUAGUGGUGAAAUGCGUAGAUAUCGGGAGGAAUACCAGUGGCGAAGGCGGCCUCCUGGGCCAUACCUGACGCUCAGACGCGAAAGCUAGGGGAGCGAACGGGAUUAGAAACCCUAGUAGUCC